AACAGCUAACUAAUGUCUAAAUUUGGUAAGUAGUAAGAGGCCCACCCAUGGUGGUGUAGGAAACAGAGCACCAUUGCAUGAUACUGGAGCCAUCUGGGAAGGCCUGGGGCUCAGAUUCUGGUCCAUCUGGACAUGCCAGAAAAACCUGCUCUGCACAUUUGUGCAAGUCUUUGUAGACAUACUUUCAUUUUCCCUGGGGCCAUACUUAGAAAUGGAAUUGUUAGGUCAUUGGCCAAUUCUGAAUCCAAGCCAAAAUAAAAACUAUGGCACUGCCGAAAGAAGAACUGAUUAGUCAUGAGAGGCUCUUAGGAGGAGUAAGUGAAGACCUGGUGCCACUUCCAGAACAGUGCU